GCGCCGGUGGUGUAAAGGCGUAGAGCAUACCCGCCCGUUCACCUGGCCAGAGGAAGGUGCGGGUUCGAGUCCCGCCUGGAGCU
rnacentral:tRNA from 1 species